GGUGGUUCCAUCGAAUGUGACGAUAUGUAGAGAGGAACGGAGAUUACUUCUAAAAACAAUAAAAGUAUUGGCAACUUUCUACAUUAAGCCGUUUUUCAUUUUCUAAACAUUGUCAGUGUUACCUAGGUAUACAAAACAUUAUGUAUGG